GGGAGAGAGGAAGAGAGAGGAAGCAGAGAUCUGGGAGAGUACAGAGGAGUGAUGCGGUGAUUCAACCCCACAAGGAAGAAACAACAUAGACAAAGAAAGCAAAAGGAAAGAAAUGCUGACAGAGACCCACAAAGGCCGCUGUGAUUUGGUAAAGCACCAAGCCUGCCAGCACGUCCUAUGGAAAGUGAGGGCAGACACAACCACAGUUGGCAGGGAGAACAGCCAAGCCGCAGCACAGCUAAUGACAGUCACCACUCUGGAGAAAUGCUUCAAAGGGCAGCUGCAGAGGUGGCAGCCAGCUCACUGAGGAAAACGGUCUUGAUCAGGCUGGAGUGCAGUGACAUAAUCACAGCUCACUGCAUCCUCAGACUCCUGGGCUCAAGCAAUCCUCCCAUCUCAGUCUUCCAAGUAAUUAGGACUAGAAGUGUGUAUUAGUCUGUUCUCAAGCUGCUGAUGAAGACAUACCCUAGACUGGGCAAUUUGCAAAAGAAAGAGGUUUAAUGGACUCACAGUUCCACGUGACUGCGGAUGCCUCACCAUGGCAGCAGACGAGAGGAGAAUGAGAGCCAAGUGAAAGGGGUUUCCCCUUAUAAAACCACCAGAUCUCAGGAGUCUUAUUCACUACCACGACAACAGUAUGGGGGAAACUGCCACCCCCAUGAUUCAAUUAUCUCCCACCGGGUCCCUCCCACAAUAUGAGGGAAUUAUGGGAGCUACAAUUUAUGAGAUUUAUGAGAUUUGGGUGGGGACACAGCCAAACCAUAUCAGUGUGCCACCACACUCAGCUAAUUUAUUAUUUUUAGAAACAUGGUCUCACUAUGUUGCCCAGGCUGGUCUGCACUCCAGGGUUCCAGUGAUCCUCCCAUCUUGGCCUCCCAAAGCACUAGGAUUACAGGCAUGAGCCAUCACACCCAGCCAAGAAAACAUUAUCUUCUAGAUAUGCACACUGAAGUAUUUGAUAUAAAAUGUAUGAUAUUUGGGAUUGCUUCAUAAUAUUUUAGCAAAAAUAAAAUAAGUGAAAUACAGCAAGCUGCUGAGCAUUGAUAA
rnacentral:lncRNA from 1 species